AUUGAACGCUGGCGGCAUGCCUUACACAUGCAAGUCGAACGAUAGCAGGUCUUCGGAUGCUGACGAGUGGCGAACGGGUGAGUAAUACAUCGGAACGUGCCCAGACGUGGGGGAUAACGAGGCGAAAGCUUUGCUAAUACCGCAUACGAUCUAAGGAUGAAAGCAGGGGACCGCAAGGCCUUGCGCGUUUGGAGCGGCCGAUGGCAGAUUAGGUAGUUGGUGGGAUAAAAGCUUACCAAGCCGACGAUCUGUAGCUGGUCUGAGAGGACGACCAGCCACACUGGGACUGAGACACGGCCCAGACUCCUACGGGAGGCAGCAGUGGGGAAUUUUGGACAAUGGGCGAAAGCCUGAUCCAGCAAUGCCGCGUGCAGGAUGAAGGCCUUCGGGUUGUAAACUGCUUUUGUACGGAACGAAAAGGCUCUGGCUAAUACCUGGGGCACAUGACGGUACCGUAAGAAUAAGCACCGGCUAACUACGUG
rnacentral:rRNA from 1 species